rnacentral:tRNA from 1 species
GGUAUAGCUCAGUGGUAGAGCACAUGCUUACCAUGCAGGAGGUCCUGGGUUCAAUCCUUAGGACCA